UCUUGGCUAUUUGCCUCUCUUUUUACUCAAAGUCUGACUGCUACACUGUAUUGCUGGCAAUGUCAGUUUUCCUCAAUAACAAAGACUUCCCAGUUCAGAACAUCUACAUAUGCGGCUAAUAGGAAAAGUGAGUAAAACUCCAACAUGAUAAACGGGGAGGUAUGUCAAACUCCUAUUCAGGCUAUGAAAAACCUACUCAUAAUUCUAACUUCCCUCCUUUAAGUAUGGAGAGAAGGCAUAGCUCAUUUGGAAAAUGUGACCAAAAGCCCACAUUUCAACACAGUGAAAUGCUUUAUCCCCUUUUGCUUCUACCACACCAGGAACUUUCUAUAUGUAAUUAUUUAAUCCCCAGCCAAAACCUGGUGGACAAUGAAAUCCCCACAAAAUGUUUCCCCUAGUGAAGUGUUCAGACCUCAGUUCCACAAAAAACAUUUCUAAAAGCUUUUCAUGUAAUCUUUCCAUGCCAAUUUUUUUUUUCAAUCAUGGCUAAAAAUCUCCAUAUUUGAAUAUUCAUCAUUAUAAGCAUCUGGUAAAAUAUAGCCCUGUCCAGCAUUUUACAUCAUUUGACUACAAGACCACAGAAGGGCAUAGGUAAAAAUUUCCAGUUUCAUUCGAUUUGUACUUUUAACCAUCUUUUUCCAUUUCGCGGCUUUGGGUGCCUUUGAUUGGGCUGAGAUUUUCUGCUAUCCGUUAUUAUCAGAUUUUUUUUUUUUUCCAAAUAAGCAGGUUGCUUUCAGACAAGUCCUUGUGGAUUUCAUCAGGGACUCGCUUGGAACAUCAAAAUGAGGCCACAAAUCACUUGGGUGUUUACAAUGCCUUGUGGGGUUUGCCUUAGACCAACAGUAAAGUUCACAGUGAUAAUGGCUGCAGAACAAUGCGAAUGUUCUUCACGCCACGCAACUGUACAUAUAAAAAUGGCUGAAACUGUAAAUUUUAUGUUAUGCAUCGUUUACUACAAUGUAAAGGCAGGAGGUACCAAUUAUCCCAAACCCUAGGUCAAAACGGGUGGGGGGUGGGGGGCAUGAGGGGGUGGGAAGCAGAAGGAUGAUCUCUAUUGUUCAGACAGAACAAAAUGGCUUUUACUUUCUAGUUCCAAGAGGCCUCUUAGCCAGGCUCUCACGCCUGUUAUUUUCCUCUAUGGAGUGGAGUGAGAAAAGAAACCAUUGCCAAAUAAAAUGUAAACCAGAAAAGAAAUGUUAAAUCAUAGAACCAUAACCCUUCAAGGACUGGCUUCUAAUGUCAUCCAUUCGUCAACCGCUCCCAGCCUUUGAGUUAACUCCUCCACUCUUUUCUCACAGGAACAGUGAACAGGUGUCCCGUGUGAGUGUGGAUAUGUUUAAUUCUAGACAGCUGUCAGAAUGCAACUCCCAAGAGGGCUGUUCUGACAACUUGGAAGUAGGACAUUUAAAAAAACAAAACAAAAAAACCCAUGAGAUAGCAGAUGAGAAACUGGGAGUGGGGGGGCAAACAAGGAGAAUCAGCGGUGAGCAGACGAGCAGUCUUCCAAUCUCCUAAAAGACACCACGUGGUGGGCUUCUUUUGAAAAGCAGGAAGAAAUAAAACCAGUGGGAAGGGUUACAAGGAGACAGUUUUACACAGUAUUCCGAAGAAACUUCUAACCAUCUAGAAGAAGGCUAUUACCGUCAGAUUGACUGACUGCCUAGAGAUGUUCCAUGCGAGGUGCUGAAAGAGGCCAGCGAGCCGGGAUGCCGCAACACCGCCCCGGUGUAGAAGCAGGCGGCGUCGGGCGGCGCGGGAGGGCGCGGGGCGGCUGCUGCCCGCGUGGGGCCCGGACCCGGACUGGGCCACUGUUCCACCGCGAAGCGCGGCGCCAGGAAGCGGCCGUCUCUCCGGAGCAGCAGGUGCUGUAAACGUGCCUUUGCAAAUCUACACUCAUUAGAGGAAAACUAAGCAUUUCACGAGGUUAAAAUGAGGCCGCGAGAAGUGCGCUUCUCUCGCUAGGCGACCCUCUCUUCCGCACCCGCACGCUGGUUUUUAUUGCUACCCUCCGAAGCCCGCUCACCGCGCACAGCUGCACCAGCCCUGCCAACCCGUGCGUUCCGGUACUCUGCUGGGGAAGUUGCAAAGCCAGUCGAAACUCACGGAAGAACUUACCUGAGACGACCCCAUUCGACAGGACCCCCAGCUGGUAAAGGAGGCAGCAGCAGCAGAUGAGUUUCCGGAGCCCCACAGGACAGCCCCCACAGUCAACGGCAGUGUUGCCUCGGGACUGGUGGAGGACUGCCCCGUGCGGGCAGGAGCGCCGCGGUGUCCGAGCCGAGGCUCGCCGCCUGCACCCGCGCGGAACAGGCAGAGGCUGGUGCCACGGUCCCGGCUGCCUCGCGUGCCAAGCUCGCACCCUCCUCUACCGGAGUGCUCCAGGCUCCUACCCGCAGCAGCGUGGGAGACAAUUUGUAAGGGGUUGAGGGGAAGACAAGACUCGUGGGGUGGGGUGUGGAGAAGAAAAGAUUCCAGAGGAUCCGACAAGAAAAAGGGAGCAAGGGGUGCCCGCCAAGAGUGACUUUGCGGGACAAAGGUCCCAGAACACCGCACACGUGCUCACACGCCCGGUUAGGGUGGGGUGGAGAAUCCCAAGCCCCUCACCUGACUCCUGAUUGGCCACUCCUGGAGGCCGGAUUUGCAUCCUUUGGGAGGGGGCACCCCCUCCUCCCCACUGAGGUGUGUGCAGGUAGAAGGGCCUUCCUCUCCCUACCUCACCCCCUUACUCGGGUCCCUCCUUCAGGGGAGUUCUCCCCCCAUCUACACACCACACAGAGCCAAACAGUGCAGAUUUGAGCACAAAGCAACAGCCAUUUACCAAAGACCUUUGAUUUUCCUUCCCAUCUUUGUCUCCAGGAAUUUUCUAAGCCUGGAGAUAAUGUAAUUCGUCAUGGAGGAUGCUUCAGAGGUUCCCAGGACAGUAGACACCUGACAUUUCAGAGCCCCUUAUCCCACCUUAUCUUUCCCACCCCCAUUCAUCAGUGCUAUCAAUUUCAAACCCCCCCGCCCGCCUUUCUCUAAAGCACCCCCCCACAAAAGUGAUAAAUCACACACACACACCCCUAAUGAGGGUGAGAUUAAGCAGAACGGCAUUAAAUAUUGUAUUCUGAAGAUCUCAGGUCAAAUGAGAUUAUUGUGCCUUUUUAACUUUUUUUUUUUUUUUUGCAACUUAAAAAAUAGGUUUUUCCUAUUUUUGUCUUCUGGGGAAAUUCAACCAUAAAUAUUCUUGCUUCCUCUGUUGCAGCUCUUCACAAAUACCUACUCCCCUUUCCACACUUCUUUCUCAGCCACAUCCAACCUUUCACAUCAGACUCAGGGGUCUUUGAUCUCACCUGCCGUUUGCAUCCUCUGGACUAGUCUGGACACCUAGAAAUAAGAGUUGAUGUAAAUCAGUUUUAAAAAAUUCCAGCACUGAAGUUGGGUCACUGCAUCCUUUGUUGUUUUACCUUCUGUCCCUCGUGUCAAAGGUGAAUGCUAUGCCUUUAAGGGAGGCAGAUGAUCUAAUUUCAAAGGAAAGCUAUUGUUUGAAUAAGCUGAGUCCUAGAAUACUUCGAGUGGUCCAGAGUUUAAAAACAAAGACACUCUAGGUGUGUCUGUCUCCAAACCUUGUCUUGUAAAAAUCUAUAAAACUGGAGUAACUAGGGUGGGUGUGGGUUUCCAGACAGUCAAGAAAUAUCUGUGUUACUUAGGAGCCUACACCCUCCUUUUUAUGAGACUCAAUUAUACAGAGUGAAAACUAGACAAGAAAUCAGAGGCAGUUUAUUUUUAAGAAAUAAAGCAAAUUUUUAAGACAGAUGACUAUUUUCAAUGAAACAUCUCCACAAGGAUUUGGGUCUUAAAUAAAAUGUUUCUUGUGUAAUUUUAACAAUGAAGACAACAAAAAUGUAAAACUGUAGAAGGAAUGCAUAUUGAAUUGUAUGUAUUUAUGGGAAUAAAUUUGUGAUUCCUUUAAACUAGAUGAGCCUAUGAUUAAAUAUGCUUAAAAUCA